AUUGAACGCUGGCGGCGUGCCUAACACAUGCAAGUCGAGCGGUAACAGGUGUAGCAAUACAUGCUGACGAGCGGCGGACGGGUGAGUAACGCUUGGGAAUCUGCCUAUUAGUGGGGGACAACCCGGGGAAACUCGGGCUAAUACCGCAUACGCUCUACGGAGGAAAGCCGGGGACCGCAAGGCCUGGCGCUAAUAGAUGAGCCCAAGUCGGAUUAGCUAGUUGGUAGGGUAAUGGCCUACCAAGGCGACGAUCCGUAACUGGUCUGAGAGGACGACCAGUCACACCGGAACUGAGACACGGUCCGGACUCCUACGGGAGGCAGCAGUGGGGAAUAUUGGACAAUGGGCGAAAGCCUGAUCCAGCGACGCCGCGUGGGUGAAGAAGGCCUGCGGUUGUAAAGCCCUUUCAGUGGGGAAGAAAAGCCUCGACCUAACACGUCGGGGUCUUGACGUAACCCAUAGAGAAGCACCGGCUAACUCUGUGCCAGCCGCCGCCGUAAC
rnacentral:rRNA from 1 species